GAUGAAGAACGUAGCGAAAUGCGAUAAGUAAUGUGAAUUGCAGAAUUCAGUGAAUCAUCGAAUCUUUGAACGCACAUUGCGCCCUUUGGUAUUCCAAAGGGCAUGCCUGUUCGAGCGUCAUUUGUACCCUCAAGCUUUGCUUGGUGUUGGGCGUCUUGUCUCUAGCUUUGCUGGAGACUCGCCUUAAAGUAAUUGGCAGCCGGCCUACUGGUUUCGGAGCGCAGCACAAGUCGCACUCUCUAUCAGCAAAGGUCUAGCAUCCACUAAGCCUUUUUUUCAACUUUUGACCUCGGAUCAGGUAGGGAUACCCGCUGAACUUAAGCAUAUCAAUAAGCGGAGGA
rnacentral:misc_RNA from 1 species